UACGUAGGGGGCAAGCGUUGCUCGGAAUUACUGGGCGUAAAGGGCGCGUAGGCGGCACGGCAAGUCGGGAGUGAAAGCCCGGGGCUCAACCCCGGAGGGUCUCUCGAAACUGCCGAGCUAGAGUGCGGAAGAGGCAAUCGGAAUUCCCAGUGUAGCGGUGAAAUGCGUAGAUAUUGGGAAGAACACCGGAGGCGAAGGCGGAUUGCUGGGCCGACACUGACGCUGAGGCGCGAAAGCCAGGGGAGCAAACGGG
rnacentral:rRNA from 1 species